ACCAUAAAUACAUUCGUGUGACCAGUAACUCUAGUGGAGCAGCAGCUGGGCAACGCAACCCCCCUGUUCUCUUCUCCUCCUCCCCCGCCCCUAUCGCCGGCCCUCACCCUCAUCUCCAGCGCCGCGACCAUUUUCAGCAGUGCAUAGACAUAGGCGCACCCACGCGCAUACGCCUCCGACCCCCUACCGCCCUGUUUUCAUCAUCAUGGACCCCUACUACUACUUGCUGGCGUUAAUGUUCGCCUUCGUGUGUUUCACACUGUUCCUGCUCACACGCAGCGCUGGUAGGAUCGCGAAGGAACGUGAGGCUGAGGCUGAGGCCGCCGCCGCAGCCUCCUCGGUGAGGGAGGGCGAAAGCGUCGCCAUGGGCAGCACCCGCGUCCGCCGUGCCCGCCGAGAGGAGUAAGAAAAGGCGAAGAAGUGGUGGACAGUCUACAUAUGCGCGUAGGUGCGCUCAUUCAAGCGAAGUGGUUGCGAUGGUCGCUUUCCGACGCAUAUCCUUGAGCACAGGCAUACAAACACACACCUCUACACACGAGGUGUCCCGUGCUUGUAUGGCGUUGUCUUUUUCUUUUCCGUCCUUUAGUAUGCGUGUGUGCAUGCACAAGGAUAUGCGUCGUCGUCGCUCUGUCUUUUUAUCACUGCCCGCAUCUGCGUGCUUGUGUGCUGGUGCCGCCGUACCUUGCUGUUGGAGGGGGGCCGUCUGGUGAAUCGAUCGCCUUGGCGAUAUGGUUUGCGAGUUGUCCACUGUCUCUCUGAGCGCGGUUGCAGUAAUGAUUGUACCUAAGUAGCUCUUCACCUUCUCCCUAUCAUUGGAUAGUACCGGUGCCGCCCCUCAUCCUCCCCCCCCCACCCGCAACGACAAGGAGAGGGUGAGGCAGAGCAGCAGAGGAGGACAGGUGAUGUGAGAGAGGCCAUGAGAGCAUGAAAAAGGAUGCACGCAAACACACCCGAGAAUGCAUACGGCGCUCGUGCGUGUGUGCACUCGACGACUUCAGCGGUUCGAGGCCCCCGCCGUCGUUCCCUCUGGGUGCCAGUGCCUCUGUUCAGACGCGCCCUCCCCACCUCAUCCUUUUACGCCGGGUCAAACACAUGGUGCGCGCACGCGCACACCCGGAUAGCGAAGUGCCCCGCGCAAGGCUGGCACUCCAGCGACGCAAACUUUUUUCCGGCGAAGG
rnacentral:misc_RNA from 1 species